AGAGCGGGGGAUUCUGGGACGAGGAGUGUAGUGGGCGGAAGCGUCUCGCGCUGUUGGCGGCAUUAGAUUUUUGUCUCUCUAUCAAGAGCCUUAAGUCUCUGAACCUUGGGGACAUAAACCAAAUAUUGGGGUCUGUGCCCUGCUCCUUCCCCUUCUCUGCUUUGCUCUAUCAGAGUUUUGGAGCCUGGCUAUAUUUGAGGUCAGUGUCGGGGGUCCCGCUCUGAAAGGGCAAGGGAAUCAUGCGCUGUGUAUUUUCAGGGUCUUAGAGAGUAACGGGUACGACGUAUACGGGCCCCAGCUGUCAGCUGCUUGUGCUUAUGAAUGGUAAGGAGUAAGCUGCUGUGAGAGCCCUGCUUUUGUUACUGCUACGUUAAUCACCGGCCACUUCUGCGCUUUAGGUCUAAGGAGGGUUUGUGCACCGUCUGGAACCAGGUGUGUGACUGAGGCUCAGAGUUCGCUGCCCCGGUUCUCUCCUGUUUUUGCCCUGGUGUGGAAUGUAAGAGGAUGCCCUUACUUGAAGCUAAAUAAUAAAGGUUCCAACCAAAGUAGAAUAACUGCGGCCAUUAGGACUUAAAUGCAUAGGAAUAAGCUUCCUAGGAAUAGUGGGAGAGAUGCCCCAGAGAGCAGCAGUCAAUUCCAGAGAAGGGCUAGCAUUGAAAGAUACACAAAGAAGCAGAUUAUACAUGGCUGAAAAGUCCAUGUUAUCUGAAACAGUGAAUAAGGAGGAGGUCAUAGCAGUAACACGACAACGAAGAGAAGCUGGUCAUGGAUUAUCUGACCAUUGAAGUUGAGGGAAAAGCUGUGACCCCUGAGGAUGCUUUCCUGCCCCCAAGACAGAGCACCGUGGAAAUGGAGUCUACUGUAGUGCUUCUUCCUGAGUUCCAGGCAAGUUUAAUUUUGCUCCCGUGAAGUCUUAGCUUGGUGUGCACAGUGUUUUGUCUUGUUUGGAGGUCCACGGAAAUCCCUUCUAGAGAACCGAGCCCAAGUAAUUUUUCCUUGAAGACUCGAAGCUUUGGGGGAGAGCUCAGGCUGGAGCUUUAAAUUUGGGUGUAAUCUUUGUGCAUGGUACUUCUAGGAAACUGAUCACCGAGGAAAUAAGUGUAGACAGAAGAGAGCUGAGAUCUUAUUACUGAAUCCUAUAGCUUCCAACACUUCCAAGUCAGGGAGAUGAAGAGGAACCAGCCAAGGAGACUGAGAAGAUGUAGCCUGUGAGGCAGGGGGAGGCUAAAAGUGUGGCAUCUUCAUAACCAACUGAAGAAGGAGUUUCAAAGAGUGGAGAACGGGCAUUUCCACUGUGGCUCAGGGGGUUACAAACCCACCUCGUAACCAUAAGGAUGCAGGUUUGAUCCCCGGCCUAGCUCAGUGGGUUAAGGAUCCGGCGUUGCCGUGAGCUGUGGUGUAAGUCAUAGAUGGGGCUUGGAUCCUGCAUUGCUGUAGCCGGCAACUGCAGCUCUGAUUCAGCCCCUAGCCUGGGAACGUCUGUAGGAUGCAGGUGUGGCCCUAAAAAGAUGGAGAAGAAAAAAAGAAAGAGUAUAGCUUUGCAGACUAACAGAUAGAGAGAAUAAACUAGUGGUUAGCAGUUGAGGGGGUGAUAUGGGGUGGGGGUCGGGGUGGGGGAGUGGAGGAGUGACCUGCUGGCUAAGAUAGGCUCAAGGAUGAUUGUCAUGUCCAACACAGGGAAUAUAGCCAGUAUUUUGUGAUAACUGUAAAUGGAAAGUAACCUUUAAAAAUUAUAU
rnacentral:lncRNA from 1 species